rnacentral:lncRNA from 1 species
UUGCGCACCUCACGGCCGUUGCUGUGGGAAGGGCUGCCCAGGGUGGCAGAGCCAUUGGUGUAAAUGUCCUCAGUCAUAGCAUUCGGGGCCUGAGCGAUGGCCUCGGGCUUGGCCCGGUUCUGCAGCAGGUGCUCCAGGUAGAGGUCGGAGAGCGCCGUCCUCAUGCUGCCGCUUCCCCCGCCGCCGCCGCGGCCCGAUUUGAGCGUCAUCCCCCCGGCCCAGCGCGCCGCCAGCAGCCGCAGCCGGUUCCGUUGGCUCCAGCAGAGCGGCCCGGCCCCGGGCCCGCCGCACCAGUCCGGCUCCAGCAGCGCCGCGGGUGCCGCACGCUCCGCC